rnacentral:rRNA from 1 species
UGAAUACGAGACGCUACGGCGUCGAAGCAGUCUAUGUCAUACUUCCAAGAAAAGCUUGCACUGUCAUAAACAAAUAAUGCCUGUACCAUAACCGACACAGGUGGGUAGGUAGAGUAUACUAAGGGGCGCGAGAUAACUCUCUCUAAGGAACUCGGCAAAAUGACUCCGUAACUUCGGGAGAAGGAGUGCCUUAUUUAUAAGGUUGCAAUAACAAGAUCCAAGCAACUGUUUAUCAAAAGCACAGGUCUCCGCUAAGUCGUAAGACGAUGUAUGGGGGCUGACGCCUGCCCAGUGCCAGAAGGUUAAAGAAGUUGGUUAGCAUUAGCGAAGCUGAUAACUGAAGCCCUGGUGAACGGCGGCCGUAACUAUAACGGUCCUAAGGUAGCGAAAUUCCUUGUCGGGUAAGUUCCGACCCGCACGAAAGGCGUAAUGAUUUGGAUACUGUCUCGGAGAGGGGCUCGGUGAAAUAGACUUGUCUGUGAAGAUGCGGACUACCUGCACCUGGACAGAAAGACCCUAUGAAGCUUUACUGUAACCUGAAAUUGAAAUUGGACUUUAUUUGCGCAGUAUAGGUGGGAGGCGUUGAGAAUAUUCUUGCGGGAAUAUUGGAGCCAUCAGUGAGAUACCACUCUUGUAAUGUUAGAUUUCUAACUUUGAAUCAUUAUCUGGUCAAAGAACAGUUUCAGGCGGGCAGUUUGACUGGGGCGGUCGCCUCCUAAAUGGUAACGGAGGCGCACAAAGGUUUCCUCUGAACGGGUAGAAAUCGUAUCUAGAGUGUAAAGGCAUAAGGAAGCUUGACUGUGAGACCUACAAGUCGAGCAGGGACGAAAGUCGGUCUUAGUGAUCUGACGGUGCUGAGUGGAAAGGCCGUCACUCAACGGAUAAAAGUUACUCUAGGAUAACAGGCUGAUCUCCCCCAAGAGUUCACAUCGACGGGGAGGUUUGGCACCUCGAUGUCGGCUCAUCGCAUCCUGGGGCGGUAGUACGUCCCAAGGGUUGGGCUGUUCGCCCAUGAAAGCGGUACGCGAGCUGGGUUCAGAACGUCGUGAGACAGUUCGGUCCAUAUCCGGUGUAGGCGUUAGAAUAUUGAGAGGAGCCUUCUUUAGUACGAGAGGACCGAGAAGGACAUACCUCUGGUGUACCAGUUAUCGUGCCAACGGUAAACGCUGGGUAGCUAUGUAUGGAGAGGAUAACCGCUGAAAGCAUCUAAGUGGGAAGCCCACCUCAAGAUAAGUAUUCUC